UUUUUGUUACCAGUGAAUGUGAUGGUCCACAUUCACUUCUUUAUUACAUCAUAGAAUAAAAAAACACUAAGAUUGAUCUUGACGACAGAAGCUUUCAUUUUCUUCAUCUGAAAAAUGAAGAACUUGAAAUAGUUGGUGGAUAAGUCUUUGCUCAGCUAAGUUCCAUUGAAUUAUUUCUAAGCUUCAUUUUGGCUUUAAAAAGUGUAACUGAACAUUUCUUAAAUAAUAUUUUGAUCCAGUAAGCAAUACGGGAGACAACUGUAGUUUUACUUUAUGAAAAUAUUUUGUAAGUUACCCCUGAAACUUGUUUCCUUUUCUCUUCUCCACUCAAUGGGAGAGAGCAAACAGUAGUUGUAAUGAUAGCUUCCUUCCUUUUUCUGUUUCUUCUCCUAAAACUCAAGACACAGCAUACUUUUCUAAUCCUGAAUUGGUAAGAAGGCAAGGAAGGGGAGGUGUGAGCAAUAGAAAUAACCGGAGAGAAUGUUUCUGAUGCUCUCUAUGUCUCUAUUUACUCCUUCUUUCAUGCAUUUUACAGAUAUUAACUGAAUACCUAUUUACUGAACACCUCUGUUCCAGCUCUGACUGAUUUCUGUAAAUAUACGAAUUUUCCUAGCAAAUUCAGUCACUGCCCUCAUAGAGCUUGUAAACUGAUAAAGAAGAUAAACAUUAGUCAGUGUAAGUUUGAUAAUUAUUACAAAGGAGUUGUACAGUAUAUUUUAAAGACAUGUUACUAGAUCCAUGAAAAAAAUGACAGAAUCAGGACCUAGCAACAUAUCAGCACAAUUUUUAAGCAAGCAAUAGAAAUAAUGUGCUUGUCCCAUGAAGCCCUAGCAAUGAUUAGCAUCUGCCACCUGAGCAAGAUGCCUGUUGCCAACAAGAAGUCCUGUGUGUCAGGGUGUCUCCAGCUACAAUAAAGAACCAUCCCACACACACUCAGCUGGCCCAAAUAAUCAGGAAAAUGUAUUUGUCACAUAAUAAAAAUCCCAAAGUCUAGUUUUCCCAGCACUGUGGCAGUAUCAAGUUUCCGAGCUCAUUGUUUUUGCCUUUCAAUUCUCAGGGUGCCAGCAAUGUCCAAACGGUGGCAUCUGUUAAUAAUCAUUAGUUAAGAGCCAUGAUUCCAAGUGUCACCCACUUUCAGACACAACAAAAUGCAGACAAAAUUUUUGUGUAUCUCUUAUAGAAUUAAGUUACUUCUCUAGCAAAAUUUCUUUCAUAUUUUAUUGACCAGAAUUGGGUCUCACAUCUCUCAGAAAAAUUUUCUAGGAAGAAGAAUGAUAUUACUAUGAGUGGCAUAAUCAGGAAUUACCCCCAAGUCUCAGGAAGAUACUCCUUGAUGAAGUGGACACCCAAACAGACUUUUACUCUGACAGCAAGAAGAAAAGAGCCAGUGCUUUUUAAUUCUGUAUAUCAAAUAGCAAGACAUCAACUUUCACUCAAAUUUGUGGAGGAUAGGUGGUGAUUGCCUUCUCAGCAACUGUUGGAAGGGAGCUAUUUUGGAGGUAAUGCCAGGCAAGGCAAAAGACACUUUAAGGAUGCUUUUAACUAUCUCUUCAAAAUAAGAGUAUACAUUUGGAAAACUGAGGCAAGUCUGACUUGUAUCAGUAAGGUUUUGAAUGUGGUUAUCAUGGUCACUGCCAAAGGACAUUUUAUUGUUUCUGCAAGAGAAUCUGCAGCUAUAUUCUAGGAAAAAAAUCAAAAAAAGAACAGCAAAAACCUUUUGCCUAUAUACUAUCUCACAUUUGUCUUUUUAGCUGCUAAUCUUCAGUGUAGUAAUCACCAACAUUCUUUAAUACAAUAGAUAGAAAUGUGGGUAAUGCUAAGCUGAGACCUAAAUGUACCUCAUAAGUAGGCAGGUUUCAUAUUUCAUGCUUAGAAACAUAAAAUAAAUUUUCCCGAUGUGUUACGUUCAUUUAAAUUUUCACAGUGUUUAGCUGUAAAAAAAGAAACAUAAUGCCUUAUAUAUCAUCAGAAUCAUUAUUGUAUUUCUUUAGUGGCAUUUCUUCACCUAGAAUGUUAUCAAGUUGGCAUUAAAUCAGAAAGAAAACUAUGUUCCUAAGGAGAGAGUGCUCUUGCUAAUCCAUUUCAGUUAAACAAAUGAUUAUACCACAUUUUAAGUGAUAUGGGGAAAAUGGGAGUAUUAGGGCCCCUCUUUUUCAGGUCUUCUAUUUGCUAAUCAUUGUUAUAAAGUAUUCAGUUUAAUAUAGUAUACUAAUAAUGAAAAAGUUUGAAACAUUGCAAUAAUUACCAAAAUGCGAUGCAGAGACAUAUAGUGAGCAUAUGCUGUUGGAAAAACGGCACAGACGGAGUUGCUCAACACAGGGUUUCCACAAACUUUCAACUGUAAAAACACAAUUUCAGCAAAGCACAAUGAAGUGAAGUGCAUAAAACAACUUAUACCUGUAUUUCGGGCCACACUAUAAGGCAGGUUGUAGAGACUAAAACCUUUAAGUAACCGAGGCCUUCUCUCAAGCCCGUGGCAGGGAAAGGUUAAGCAGUUAUUCCACAGCUCAUAUUCUUUCUGUUACACCCUGGUCCCUCUUUCUGUUCCUGGGGUAUGUACAUGUGAUUGGGGGUGAUAGCAGUGGUGGUAUUAUUGAUGAUUUAUUUCUGUAAUGUUCUAAUAAUUUUGAAAAUGCUUCUGGGAAAAUAUGUAGGAUGAGAAAAUUGCAUACAGACUCAUGGCCCAGGCAGGUUUCUUUCUAAUCAACUCACUUUUCCCACUUCCCCGCCAUAACCCCUGACAAAUUCUUCCCCAGAAAAUCUUUUUGGUGAUCUUUUUAACCAUCUUCCACAAGAAGAAAAAUAAUUUUGAAGCAAAACAUGCAUACAAAAGUCAAUUAUUGUGAUUUUUUUCUGUAUUCUAGAGUAGAAUAUAAAUGUGUCAUGGUUCUAUUUUCAGAGAGCUGAUGUAUUACAUCAGUUUAAGUAAUACAUGAUAUACAAUAUAAAUUUUAAAAUCUCCCACAUAAUUCAUUAGAUAUGUGUAUUGGUUUCUACAGAUAAAUAUCAUUCUGAGACGUUAAAUGAGAAUCAAAUGUUUAAAUUAUAUAUCAGCAUACUAUUGAGGUGGCAGUAGAAAUGACAGUGUAGUAACAGCCCCCUUUCCAAAUGGUAUUUCAAACUGUUACAAUGUGGAGAUGUUAAAAGGAGAGGUCAUGAAGUAUGACUUGUGAAGAAUAUGUGAAUCUAGGACAAAAAUCUUUAAACCCAAGAGAGCAGAGGUAUAAAUAGUUGAAUUUGACCUUAGAUUGUUGAAAUAUUUUCAUAAAACCACUGCAAGAUGCACUUUUUAAAAUGUAAAUUCAUACUCUGACAUUUGCAACCUGUACACAGAGCUUCUAAUAAGCAAAUAAGGUCACUUGGAUGAUUUACUGGAGUGGGAUUGCUGAAGGCAGAGAUGUUGCUAUGAGUUGCUUGGUUUACAGAAGGCUUUGAAGUGUGGUUAUGUAACACUGUGUUUAUGCUUUAUGCUUUAUGUAACAAAUAAGAACAAAGGACUUAAUUUAGGAUUAGCUGACUGCCACAUUCUAUCCUGAUUAUAUAUGUAAAGGUUAAUUUCUGGUCUAACUAAAUAGAACACCUCAACUUUCUAGUUUUCCAGGUUAUAAAUACUUUGGUAAAAAAGCAGGUUCAAAGUUUUCACCAGAAGUUCUGCAUGGUGACUUUGAACAGAUACAAGCCUGUUUCUUUUUCCUUUACGUUAUGCUGCAGUGUAUUGAUGAGCUUUAUGAGAGCUGAGACAGAUGAUCGUACUAACAAUUCUAUAUUUAAUAUAAGUCCUCCUCUUUUAAAAUAGCUUCAUAAUGGGUGUAUGCUCAUUGCUGAGGUUCACUUUCUUUAGUUUUGAAAUGACUAAUACUUUCAAACAUAGAGGUCUUUUGAUCAUUUUUUCCUUGCUAAACACCAGCAAUCCCUAUGAUUUAAUGAUAAUGACAGAUCAGUACCCUCCCCUCCCUUGGUCAUAAAAAGCCUAUGAUUUAGCUUCAUUUGUCUACCCAGGAAUUAGAGAUGAAUCACCAAGUAAGAAAAAUAUUUUGCAUGAUUAAAAUAUUGCAACUGCUAUAACACUUUUAGAUUACCUUAAUAUAUAUUCAUAAGAUUAUAGACAGUAAUGAAUAAUGAGUAAGCCCUUACUGCACACAAAUGUAUUUGGUUUUAAGUUUUCUUUUUCUUGAAGGGGGAGCAGGGUCCUGUUGUUUUGUAUAGCCAUCAUAGUGCUGUCAAAUAUUUAACAGCAUUUCUGUUUUUUUGUUUCAUAGUUCAGUUGUGCAAUGUUGGUCUCUUCACUUCAGAAAGUCAUCUAACAAUAGCUCAGCCAAAAUUUCUGCCUUCUGUUUUUUGCCCUUCUGGAGGAAAAAUAAGUCAGAAAUAGCAUUAUAACCUUUAAAAACAGUGCACAAUCACCUAGUAAUAGUAUGCUUCAUUGGGAUCGGGGGCAACAUUUGUGUGCAGGGUGAUCAUUUUCACCGAUUUGUAAAAAGGAGAUACUAUUAUGUGUUAAUAGACUUCAAGACACAGUAUCACUCAUAUAUCAACAGUGAUAUGUUUACUUAGACUGCACUUGGUACCUGUAAACAGAUAGCUAAGUCUUUGAUGGGAGGAUGGAUAGAGGGUUGAUGAACUGAUAGACUGACAGAUGGAAGGAUGGAUGGAUAAAUAUGGAGUAUGUAGCUACCUAGUGGUAAAAUAACUCCUGAAGGGUUUAAAAUUAUGUAAUUAUAAAACACAAAUAGUACUAAAAUGAGUUGCUUCUCCCUUAAAGCAGUAAUUUAAAUGGUAUGAACAAAUUGAUAAGAUAUUAUCUAAAAAAUAUACCAUCAUUUUAUAGAAUUCACAAUUAAUAUAUUAUUAUCCUAUGAUGUGCUUGCUGAACAGAUGUUCAUAAUAAGAUCUACCACCUAUGAUAAAGGCAACAUAUGUCAUGCACUCUGAAAGCGCUUUACAGUCAUUGCCACAUUAGCCAACCAUUUAUUUUCCUAGACUACAAAUAUGGAAGAAGGCAACCUACAGGCAAACCUUGUAUAUAGUGCAGGUUUGGUUCCAUACACUGCAGUAAAGCAAAUAUUGCAAUAAAGCAAGUCACACAAAUGUUUUGGUUCAUACAUAUAAAAGUUAUGUUUAUAAUAUACUGUAGUCUAAUAAGUGUGCAACAGCAUUAUGUCUAAAAACAAUGUACAUGCCUUCAUUUAAAAAUACUGUGUUGCUUAAAGAUACUAAUGGCCAUCUGAGCCUUCUGCGAGUCAUAAUCUUUUACUAGUCGAGGCUCUUGCCUUGAUGUUAAUGGCUCCUGACUGAUCAGGGUGAGGUUUCUAAAGGUUGUGGUGGCUAAGGCAAUAGUGAAGUUUGUCACGUGGAUUGACUCUUCGUUUUAGGAAAGAUUUCUCUGUAAUGUGAUGCUGUUUGGUAACAUUUUACUCACAGUAGAUCUCUUUCAAAAUUAGAGUGAAUCCUCCCUAACCCUACCACUUAGUUUGAUAAAGAUUACCUAGGUUUAUAUUACAUUCUAAAUCAUUUGUUGCCAUCUCUAGCGUCUUCACCAGUAGUAGAUUCCAACUCAAGAAACCAUGUUAUUUGCUUAUCUGUAAGAAACAACUCCUCAUCCAUUAAGGUUUUAUCAUGAGACUGCAUCAAUUCAGUCACAUCUUUAGGUUUCGCUUUUAAUUCUAGCUCUCUUGCUAUUUCUACUGCAUCUGCAGUUAGUUCCUCCACCAAAGUCUUGAAUUCCUCAAAGUCAUCUAUGAGAGUUGCAGUCAAUUUCUUCCAAACUCGUAUUGUGUUGAUAUUUUAACCUCCUCCUAUUAAUCACAAACGUUCUUAAUGGCAACUAGAAUGGUGAAUCCUUUCCAGAAGAUUUCAGUUUGCUUUGCCCAGAUCCAUUAGAGGAAUCACUACUUAUGACAGCUAUAGCCUCACAAAAUAUAUUUCUUAAAUGUUAAGAGUUUAAGGUUGAAAUUGUUUCUUGAUCCAUGGGAUGCAGACUGGAUGUUGUAUUAGGUGGCUUGAAAACAAUGUUAAUUUCCUUGUUCAUCUCAGUCAGAGCUCUUGGGUGACCAGAUGCUCUCAUCAAUGAGGUAAUAUUUGAAAGGAAUCUUUUUUUUUUUUUUUUUUCUGAGGAAUAGGUCUCAAGCUUGGGCUUAUAGGCUUUGUUGUUCAUUUGCUGUCUUCAAGGCUUUGUGGUUCCAUUUAUAGAGCACAAGCAGAGUAGAUUUUAGCAUAAUUCAUAAGGGCCUAGGUUUUUGGAAAUGGUAAAUGAGCAUUGACUUCCACUCAAAGGCACCAGCUGUAUUAACUCAUAACAAGAGAGUCAUCCUUAUCUUUGGCGCUUUGAAACCAGACACUGUCUUCUCAAUAGUUAUGAAAGUCCCAGAUAGCAUCUUCCAAUGGAAACCUGUUUCAUCUAAAUUGAAAAUCCACCACCAAAAGCUUCAUAUAAGCGGUAGGGCUGAUGUUUACUUUCUUAUCACUCAUGUGUUGUAGAGUAGCAGUUCUUAUUUCUUUGAGGAACUUCUUUUCCUUUGCGUUCACAACUUGACUAACUCCUUGGCAUAAGGGACCUAGCCUUUGUCCUGUCUCAACUUCGAACACGCCUUCCUCAUUAAGCUUAGUAAUUUCUAGUUUUUGAUUUGAAAUGAGAGACAUUCCACUCCUCUAUUCACUUGAACUCCUAGAGACUAUUGUAGGGUUAUUAAUUGGACUAAAUUCAAUAUGGUCUUAGACAAUAGGGAGACCCAAGGAAAGGGGAAGAGUCGGGAACAGCCAGCAGGUGGAACAGCCAACACACACAUUUAUUAAUUCUGCGGUUUUAUAUGUGCAUGAUUUGUGGUCCCCUGAAACAAUUACAGUAGUAACCACAAAGAUCACUGGUCACAAAUCAUCAUAAUAGACAUAAUGAUAAUGUAAAAAUAAUAUUAUAUUAAUAUAUAAUAAUACUGUAAUGAAAAAGUUUGAAAUAAUGCAAGGACUACCAAAAUGUGACACAGAGACACAAAGGAAACACAUGCUGUCGGAAAAUGGUGCGAAUACACUGGUUGGAUGCAGGGUUGCCACAAAUCUUCAAUUUGUAAAAAUGUAUAUUUGUGAAGUGCAAUAAAGUGGAAUAAAACGAGCUGUGUUGGUGCAGUAGUAUCAUUGGCCUGAAAGGUUUCACAGUGAGCCUUUCCUUUUAAAGUUGGGCUUUACUUAAUUUAUCAGAAAUGUAUGAUUUCUUCUAUUUAAAACAUAAGUUAUAUUAGUCAUCUUUAUAUAUGAUACUACUGUUUUUUUAAAUAGACCAUUCUAUGUCUAAACUAAAUUUCUAACUUGGAUGUUCAAUCACUUUUCCUCUAGUCAGAAGAAAUUACCUUUUUCAAUGAGUAUCUCCUGCCUGCCUAUGUGAGAUAUUAUUUGUGUUUCUUAAGUUUUCCGUUAAGCUCUUCUUAAUCAGAAUCUCACAGGAUCAGACUGAGUGGUCAGUGUUGUCUCUUUAUAAAAGUAUUACCUAAAUACCUCAGAUACUUUCUUAAAAUUAAGAUGUGAUAUAAUGACUGGUUCGCUAAAAUUAUUUAAGGGCUCCUAAGCAUUUACGAAAGCUACAACCAAAAGAAAUUUCUAUUUCUCAGAGAAAAUUGGAAAUGUUAGAGCCAUAAACUGUGUUCUUGGAAGCAGUGGAUUCAGUUGUAAUCAUGUGUAAGAACCAUCUCUAAUUCUAUUAAUGUAGUUUCUCUUGGCACAAUAAUGUGAAAAUGCCUAAUUCUUUUAAAUAAGAAUUCAUUUGCAAAAUUGUGGUUAUUUUUUGUAGUUAUAUGGUAUCUAUCAGCUGUUGAAUAAGGAAAGUGUUUAGACAAUAUCAAAUAAAAUUAUUUAAUUAAUAUAUAACAAUGAAAUGAUUACACUAUUAAUACCUUUUAUUGGCAUGCAGUGAUCAUUUUAUUUCAAGAACAUUAAUUAAAAUGAAAAAUUAUGUUUGCAUGUAAAAUUAUAAACAUUACUGUUUUUUUCUCAUAUGUUCUUUAUUAUUUAGGGAGAGAGCCAAUUUUCAUUUUGCAGGAUUCCCUACCAACAUCUGUACUUUCUUCCAGCUAAAGAAAACAAAGGAAAAAUAAUUUUUUUCUGGUAGUAGCAUUAUUUUCUAAUUUUGAAACAUUAUUUUCUUCAGUUUGUUCUCUUAUUUAAACAUUUUCAUUUCCCAGUGGCUCAUGUAACAAAGGUCCCCAGAAAUAAUAAGUAUUUCUUGUUCUUAUAUUUGUAAACAUAAAUAAAUUUGCUCUCAUUGAAAGGAUAGUGGUUGGGAGCGUGAGCUCUAGAAUAUGACUAUCUGAGGUUCACGUUCCAUCUCUACCACUUUGUUUUGUUUUGAAAAUGACCUCUUGAUUACUUGGAUAUUCAUCUCUAGAAUAUCUACUCAUAGAACUCUUGUCAGAAUUAAAUUAGUUAAGAUACAUGCAGGCUUAGCAACAGUGUUGCCCAUGUUUGAGCAUAGCGAGUGUUAAGGGUAAUGGUCAUCCUUACUGUCAUCAUCUUCUAAAAAUACAUUAGAAAUUUUAUAACAAAAUGAAAGAAACAAAAAGAUGAGUAGGUACUAAUCCUGGCUGUUGUCUUCAUUCUCUUGUCCAACUUUUUGUUUUGUUUUUUGUUUCUGUUAGUGUUUUGCAUGUCCUGGUUCUCGUUUCACAACCACACGUUAAUUGCUUUCAGUCCUUUCACUGGACUGAAUUAAAAGUCUUCUGCUCCCUAUUAACUUCCUUCUUCACUCUUGUACCAUUUACCCACUUUUCUUUCUUAUUUUCCUUUCUCUAUAUCCUGCAGCACUGUCUUGAUUUAUUUUUCUUUCCACCCAUCUUCGUUUUAUCUUUUGUUUUUAGAUCUAAAUCCACUUUUUCAUUUUCCUUGUACUUUUCCCUGAAAAAUUCACCCACCCUUCAGCUGUCAGCUCUAUGAAGAUGUUACCUAAUGAUUCUCCCCUAUUCACCAAGCAGUGGGCAAUUGUGUGAUGUUUAAUAACUGUUAGGCAAUACUGAGUAGCAUGGAAUGAUAAAUUUUUAAAACUGAAAAGCUCUAGUAUAACCUAGCUUAGCCCAUUCAGAUUAAAUAAGAUUACAUGGAUUAGGAUAUCUAUAAGCUUCUUUUAGGGGAUGGUUUCAAAAUUAACACCAAAAGUUAAAUUUACAUAGCAGUUUACAAUAUGUGAAUAUUUUUAUUUAUGUUAACCCAUCUUAUCCUCACAUUUUCUCCAGUGAUGCUGGUUAGGCAAGCAUUUUUUUGUCCUCAAUCUACAUAUGAAGAUCAGAAAGAUUUAUAGUUUUCAUAAGAUUGUAUUUCUAGUAAAUGAAUAAAUGUGACUUAAAUCUAGUUUCUCUAAAUUCAGUACACUUUUACAUUUGGUCACCAGAUAAUUCAUCUUUUUGUUGCCCUCUAGCAAUGCCAUCGACGUAUAUGAAGUGUGUCUCACUGAUGUGUUUUUUUCUCUAUUUAUAUUUGUAGAGGUUAAUGAUGACUUUGACUAAAUUUUUUCUGCAGUGUAAUACCAUCCUGGUUUCUGAUCCUCACAAGCACAGAUCAAUGUAAGUGGAAAAAGUUUUCCCAACUGUAUAGACAUAUUUUUUAAUUUCUUCUUUUAUUUAGAUUUAUAGCAUACAUGUGCAGGUUUUUUACACGAGUUUUUUGAUGUGAUGUGAAGUUUUGGGUCGUGAAUGAUCCUAUCAGCCAGGCGGUGAGCAUAGUGCCUGUUACGUAGUUUUUCAGACCCUGCCUCUGCCCUACUCUCCCUCCUCUAGUAGUUUCCAGUAUUUAUUGUUCCCGUGUUUAUGUCCAUGUGUACCCAAUGUUUAGCUCCCAAUUGUAAGUGAGAACAUGCAGUACUUGGUUUUCUGUUCCUGUAUUAAUUCACUUAGGAUAAUGGCCUCUAGCUACAUCCAUGUUGUUGCAAAGGAUAUGAUUUCACCUUUUUAAUGUCUGUGUAAAAUUCCAUGGAUGUAUAUAUACCAUAUUUUCUUUAUCCAGUACACCAUUCAUGGGCACCUAGAUUAAUUUCCUGCCCUUCCUGUUGUGAAUAGUACUAUGAUAAACAUAGAGGUGCAUAUGUCUUUUUGUUUUCUUUUUUUUUUUUU